UUAGAGAUUACUCCUACGGGAGGCAGCAGUGGGGAAUAUUGGACAAUGGGCGCAAGCCUGAUCCAGCAAUACCGCGUGUGUGAAGAAGGCCUGAGGGUUGUAAAGCACUUUCAAUGGGGAGGAAAAAGGCAAGCCCAAUACGCUUGCCCUUGACAUUACCUUUAGAAGAAGCACCGGCUAACUCCGUGCCAGCAGCCGCGGUAAUAAU
rnacentral:rRNA from 1 species